GACGAACGCUGGCGGCGCGCCUAACACAUGCAAGUCGAACGAGCGAGAGAGAGCUUGCUUUCUCGAGCGAGUGGCGAACGGGUGAGUAACGCGUGAGGAACCUGCCUCAAAGAGGGGGACAACAGUUGGAAACGACUGCUAAUACCGCAUAAGCCCACGGCUCGGCAUCGAGCAGAGGGAAAAGGAGCAAUCCGCUUUGAGAUGGCCUCGCGUCCGAUUAGCUAGUUGGUGAGGUAAUGGCCCACCAAGGCAACGAUCGGUAGCCGGACUGAGAGGUUGAACGGCCACAUUGGGACUGAGACACGGCCCAGACUCCUACGGGAGGCAGCAGUGGGGAAUAUUGCACAAUGGGGGAAACCCUGAUGCAGCGACGCCGCGUGGAGGAAGAAGGUCUUCGGAUUGUAAACUCCUGUUGUUGAGGAAGAUAAUGACGGUACUCAACAAGGAAGUGACGGC
rnacentral:rRNA from 1 species